rnacentral:lncRNA from 1 species
GUCGGCGGUCACCAGGCGCGGGACCUUGGUGCCGCCUUUCAACCUUUUGGGCUGCGAUGCUCUCUUUGGUGACCCAAUGUCGUUCUGGAUCCCUCCUGCUUUCCCACAUUAGGGUUACAAAGGCCAGAAGAUGGGGAAGGGAGAGGUCAUUCCCACUUCCCAAAGCGGGUGCUAUGGACUGAACUGUGUCCCGUCAAAAUUCAUGCUGUAGUUCUGACCCCAGCACUUCACGAUAUGACCUUAUUUGGAGACCGGGCCUUUAAAAUGAGAUGUCCUUGUAAAACGAGGCGCCGAGGACACAGACAUGCAGAGGCUCGGCCCUGCAUGGACACGGGGAGGAGGUGCCAGCCCAGGAGAGGCCUCAGGAACCAGCCCUGCUGCAGCCUGACCUGGGAAUUCGGCCUUCAGACCGCGAGGGCCUUGGUGUCUGCUGUGGAGGCCGCCGGGCCUGUGGUCCUUUGUGACGCCGGAUGCACACGGGGGAGUGCAGCCCUCACAAAGCUGAGACGGAGCUGCGGGUGGGGCCUCGGCACCUUCAGGACCUGCUCUGCGCUCCUGCUGGGUCCCAGCUGCUGAGUCAGAUGGGCUCAUCCAGAAACAAGCCAGCUGCCCUCCCUCCUUCCCCACAGCCUCACACUUGGGAGGCGGGGAGACUUCAGAAGUGCUUUGGUGCCAGCCCUGCCCCUGGCAGCUCCAGCUGAGAUCCUCGUCGACAAGGAGAACCCAAGUCCAAGGACAGCAAGAAGGGCCUUCUGGAGCUGAUAGCCACGCCCUUCCGGCUGCAGCCACGCCCUUUCUUGAUGACCACGCCCACUGCACGAAUGACCACGCCCUCUCGGUUGUGGCCACGCCCACUGCACUGGUGGCCACGCCCCCACCCCAGGGCUGCUUUCCCCUUUGAUAAAGAACAUCUUUUUAGAUGUCAGGGCCUGAAGGCCCUUGGGGAAGGUGAGCCUGUUCUUUAGGGCCCCAGGAAGGCAGCGUUUCCUGUGCUUAGGACUCCCUUCUCACGGUCCACACUGCCUCCCCAACUGACUUCAACGGGGCCUCAUGGCGCAGAGGUGCCCAGGGGAGCAUCAGGAGCUUGAGGGAUAGACGGUGGAGCCACGCGGGAGAAGCUUCAUCCCUGGCCCAGCCGAGCAACGCCCUCUCACGGGUUAGCACAGAAAUCCACUUUUUUGGGAGACACAAUUCAACUCACAGCAGUGACCAUGAGUGGAUGAACAGAGGUCAAUGGCAGGACGUGGUGACAGUGCAGGCGGGCGGAAGUCGAGAGGAAACUGAGUCUCUCGCAAGGCCGACCCGGCCGUGUGUACCCAAAUAGGAGGCAUCAGAUAAGAGUGAGGCCAGCCCGGAAAGCAGGUAGAACCCCUCGCUGGCCUCCUGCCUCAUCUGCUGCAACUGUCUCCCUGGAUCUGGGCUCCUACUCAAUGCAGCAGCACCAUCAGGAGCGGCUGCCACUGUGAUGUGUCAUCACCUGCAGGUGGCACGUCCCUGUGCCAGGCUGAGACUGGCACUUUGUGACCAACGUGCCCCGUGUCAUCAGCCCUGUGUCAUGCUGCGAGAAGCCAAGCCUGGCACUCCGAGGGGCAGGUGGGAGCUGGAGAUGCCUCGAGAAGCCCCUUUGGCAUCUGGACCCGACUCGGCCCCGGGCCGUCCUCUGGGGGCUCUCUGAUCCAUUGUCUGAGGACACAUGGUGGACUCACCACAGGGACUGAGGCUGAAUCACAAACUCCAGACCCCAGCAAGGACCUGGAGCAUCCUGGGUGUCCUGGCAUCCAGCUGAUGACCUCAGCCAUCAACACCUGGGAGAUUCCAGAGUCCUGGAUGCUGAGAGGCCUGGGCUUUAGGGCAAGGCCUGGGAGGGGAGGUGCUGGGCAGACGACUACCUGGAAGAAAUAGGAUGGGGCCUGGCAUGCUUCAGUGGGGCCUCAGUGUGGAGUGUGACACAGCGCUGAGGGACAUGGGGCAGGCUGGUCACACAGUGCUGGUCUCAGCCUGGCAUGAGGACAUACUGCUGCAAGUGACGGCACAUCACGGUGGCACCCCGCCCCCAAGAGUCGGGCUGCAUGACCGCAGGGUGGGAAGACGGGGGGCACUGCCAGGCCUGUCUGCUGUGGGCUCAGCCCAUACCCUCCAAGCUCAACCACUUCAAACCUCAUCACAUCGGGCAAUGAGAUAAGGGGCUUCACCCUUCCGGCACGUAUAGGAGGCAAGCCCCACUGUGACUCUGCGAAGACGGGUGCCUUCUGCCCUCCCUCCGAGCUGUGUGGCCACCUGCCUCGUCCCCACUCAACUCCUGAAACCCCCAGGGGCUCUGCUGACUUCUCUGUCAUCUUCAUACUGUGCGUGUGUGGUGUGUGUGCAUGUGUGUGAUGUGUGCGCGGUGUGUAUGUAUGUGUGUGAUGUGCCUGU